rnacentral:rRNA from 1 species
UGGGGAAUUUUGGACAAUGGGCGAAAGCCUGAUCCAGCAAUGCCGCGUGUGUGAAGAAGGCCUUCGGGUUGUAAAGCACUUUUGUCCGGAAAGAAAUCCUUGGCUCUAAUACAGUCGGGGGAUGACGGUACCGGAAGAAUAAGCACCGGCUAACUACGUGCCAGCAGCCGCGGUAAUACGUAGGGUGCAAGCGUUAAUCGGAAUUACUGGGCGUAAAGCGUGCGCAGGCGGUUUGCUAAGACCGAUGUGAAAUCCCCGGGCUCAACCUGGGAACUGCAUUGGUGACUGGCAGGCUAGAGUAUGGCAGAGGGGGGUAGAAUUCCACGUGUAGCAGUGAAAUGCGUAGAGAUGUGGAGGAAUACCGAUGGCGAAGGCAGCCCCCUGGGCAAUACUGACGCUCAUGCACGAAAGCGUGGGGAGCAAACAGGAUUAGAUACCCUGGUAGUCCACGCCCUAAACGAUGUCAACUAGUUGUGGGGAUUCAUUUCCUUAGUAACGUAGCUAACGCGUGAAGUUGACCGCCUGGGGAGUACGGUCGCAAGAUUAAAACUCAAAUGAAUUGACGGGGUCA